GUUUCCGUAGGUCGGGAGUCCAGCCACCGCUCAGCUUCAUCCUCUGCAAGACUGAAGUCAAAGUGUCUGCCAGGAUUGAGGUUUCAUCUGAGACUUGACUGAGGAAGGAUCCACUUCCGUGUUCACUCAGGGUGUCAGCAAAACAAUAAGCAGUAUCUGCCCAGGGAGCUGAGCAGAGGGCGUGUGUCAUGUGGGUGGAAGUUUGGAGCCGGAGUGGUGGCUGUUUGUUACUGAAAGAAAAAGCUACUUCUCCUGGAGCCCUCCAUCCUUAUGCCCCAACGUGGACUGGAGACUUUUUAGUCAUUUGCCCAGAUGACUAUGUGCCCACAUGCAGAGUAUUGCAACUUUCUUUCAUCAAUAUCUUGGAACCCACCUUCAUUUCUCUUUCAAAUAUUGGAACUUCUCUGUCCUACCUUCCUUGCUUUUUGUGCAACAUAUCUUCCAGUAGUUUCCAUGGACAUGGCAAAAGAGACAGCAUUUUCCUUUUUAGAUUUCG
rnacentral:lncRNA from 1 species